UACGAAGGGGGCUAGCGUUGCUCGGAAUCACUGGGCGUAAAGCGCACGUAGGCGGCGUCUUAAGUCAGGGGUGAAAUCCUGGAGCCCAACUCCAGAACUGCCUUUGAUACUGAGAUGCUUGAGUCCGGGAGAGGUGAGUGGAACUGCGAGUGUAGAGGUGAAAUUCGUAGAUAUUCGCAAGAACACCAGUGGCGAAGGCGGCUCACUGGCCCGGUACUGACGCUGAGGUGCGAAAGCGUGGGGAGCAAACAGG
rnacentral:rRNA from 1 species